UUACUGAGUUUACGCUCUAUAACCCUUUGUGAACAUACCUAUAACUGUUGCUUCGGCGGGUAGGGUCUCCGCGACCCUCCCGGCCUCCCGCCUCCGGGCGGGUCGGCGCCCGCCGGAGGAUAACCAAACUCUGAUUUAACGACGUUUCUUCUGAGUGGUACAAGCAAAUAAUCAAAACUUUUAACAACGGAUCUCUUGGUUCUGGCAUCGAUGAAGAACGCAGCGAAAUGCGAUAAGUAAUGUGAAUUGCAGAAUUCAGUGAAUCAUCGAAUCUUUGAACGCACAUUGCGCCCGCCAGCAUUCUGGCGGGCAUGCCUGUUCGAGCGUCAUUUCAACCCUCAAGCUCUGCUUGGUGUUGGGGCCCUACAGCUGAUGUAGGCCCUCAAAGGUAGUGGCGGACCCUCCCGGAGCCUCCUUUGCGUAGUAACUUUACGUCUCGCACUGGGAUCCGGAGGGACUCUUGCCGUAAAACCCCCCAAUUUUCCAAAGGUUGACCUCGGAUCAGGUAGGAAUACCCGCUGAACUUAAGCAUAUCAA
rnacentral:rRNA from 1 species